rnacentral:rRNA from 1 species
CAGCCGCCGCGGUAAUACGGAGGAUGCAAGCGUUAUCCGGAUUCAUUGGGUUUAAAGGGUGCGUAGGCGGUCUUUUAAGUCAGUGGUGAAAUCCUGCGGCUCAACCGUAGAACUGCCAUUGAAACUGAAAGACUUGAAUACACCAGAGGUAAGCGGAAUGUGUAGUGUAGCGGUGAAAUGCUUAGAUAUUACACAGAACACCAAUUGCGAAGGCAGCUUACCAUAGUGUCAUUGACGCUGAUGCACGAAAGCGUGGGGAGCGAACAGGAUUAGAUACCCUGGUAGUCCACGCCGUAAACGAUGAUAACUCGCUGUUGGCGAUACACAGUCAGCGGCUGAGCGAAAGCAUUAAGUUAUCCACCUGGGGAGUACGGUCGCAAGAUUGAAACUCAAAGGAAUUGACGGGGGCCCGCACAAGCGGAGGAACAUGUGGUUUAAUUCGAUGAUACGCGAGGAACCUUACCUGGGCUUAAAUGUAUUAGGACCGUCCCGGAAACGGGGCUUCCCUUCGGGGCCUUUUACAAGGUGCUGCAUGGUUGUCGUCAGCUCGUGCCGUGAGGUGUCGGGUUAAGUCCCAUAACGAGCGCAACCCCUAUCGUUAGUUGCUAACAGGUAAUGCUGAGGACUCUAGCGAGACUGCCACCGUAAGGUGAGAGGAAGGUGGGGAUGACGUCAAAUCAGCACGGCCCUUAUGUCCAGGGCUACACACGUGUUACAAUGGCCGGUACAAAGGGCAGCUACUUGGUGACAAGAUGCUAAUCUCUAAAGCCGGUCUCAGUUCGGAUCGAAGUCUGCAACCCGACUUCGUGAAGCUGGAUUCGCUAGUAAUCGUAUAUCAGCCAUGAUACGGUGAAUACGUUCCCGGGCCUUGUACACACCGCCCGUCAAACCAUGGAAGCUGGGGGUGCCUGAAGUCUGUGACCGUAAGGAGCGGCGUAGGGUAAAACUAGUGACUGGGGCCAAGUAGUAACAAGGUAACCGUA